AUCUUACCUUGAAUACAUAGGGGUAAGAAGCGAACUCGGGGAACUGAAACAUCUAAGUACCCGAAGGAAAGGACAUCAACCGAGACUCCGCAAGUAGUGGCGAGCGAACGCGGACCAGGCCAGUGGCAAUGAGGAAUAAAGCGGAACAAGUUGGAAAGCUUGGCCAUAGUGGGUGACAGCCCCGUACGCGUAGAACACUCAUUGUCCUAGAGUAGGGCGGGACACGUGAAAUCCUGUUCGAACAUGGGGAGACCACUCUCCAAGCCUAAGUACUCGUGCAUGACCGAUAGCGAACAAGUACCGUGAGGGAAAGGUGAAAAGCACCCCGACAAGGGGAGUGAAAUAGAACCUGAAACCGGAUGCCUACAAACAGUAGGAGGGCGAAAGCCUGACUGCGUACCUUUUGUAUAAUGGGUCAACGACUUAGUGUAACUAGCAAGCUUAAGCCGGUAGGUGUAGGCGCAGCGAAAGCGAGUGUUAAUAGCGCGAUUGAGUUAGUUGCAUUAGACCCGAAACCGAGUGAUCUAGCCAUGAGCAGGUUGAAGGUUGGGUAACACCAACUGGAGGACCGAACCCGCAUCUGUUGCAAUAGAUUGGGAUGACUUGUGGUUAGGGGUGAAAGGCCAAUCAAACUCGGAAAUAGCUGGUUCUCCGCGAAAACUAUUUAGGUAGUGCGUCGAUCGAAUACCUCAGGGGGUAGAGCACUGGAUGGGCUAUGGGGACUCACCGUCUUACUGAUCCUAACCAAACUCCGAAUACCUGAGAGUACUAAUCGGCAGACACACGGCGGGUGCUAACGUCCGUCGUGAAGAGGGCAACAACCCUGACCUCCAGCUAAGGUCCCCAAGUCAUGGCUAAGUGGGAAAGGAUGUGAGGAUCCCAAAACAACCAGGAUGUUGGCUUAGAAGCAGCCAUCAUUUAAAGAAAGCGUAACAGCUCACUGGUCUAAAUAAGGGUCUUUGCGCCGAAAAUGUAACGGGGCUAAAGCCAUGCACCGAAGCUGAGGAUGUGCACGUAAGUGUACGUGGUAGCGGAGCGUUCCGUAAGCCUGUGAAGGGACAGUCGUGAGACAUCCUGGAGGUAUCGGAAGUGCGAAUGUUGACAUGAGUAACGAUAAAGGGGGUGAGAGACCCCCUCGCCGAAAGACCAAGGGUUCCUGCUUAAAGUUAAUCUGAGCAGGGUUAGCCGGCCCCUAAGGCGAGGCAGAAAUGCGUAGUCGAUGGGAACCACGUUAAUAUUCGUGGGCCUGGUGGUAGUGACGGAUCACACAAAUUGUACAGUCUUACUGGAUUGAUUGUGCAGUGGAGUGGUUCCAGGAAAUAGCUCCACCGUAUAGACCGUACCCGAAACCGACACAGGUGGUCAGGUAGAGUAUACCAAGGCGCUUGAGAGAACUAUGUUGAAGGAACUCGGCAAAUUGCACGCGUAACUUCGGAAGAAGCGUGACCCCUUUUUACGCAAGUGGAGAGGGGUGGCACAGACCAGGGGGUAGCGACUGUUUAUCAAAAACACAGGGCUCUGCGAAGUCGCAAGACGACGUAUAGGGUCUGACGCCUGCCCGGUGCUGGAAGGUUAAAAGGAGAGGUGCAAGCUUUGAAUUGAAGCCCCAGUAAACGGCGGCCGUAACUAUAACGGUCCUAAGGUAGCGAAAUUCCUUGUCGGGUAAGUUCCGACCUGCACGAAUGGCGUAACGACUUCCCCGCUGUCUCCAACAUAGACUCAGUGAAAUUGAAUUCCCCGUGAAGAUGCGGGGUUCCUGCGGUCAGACGGAAAGACCCCGUGCACCUUUACUAUAGCUUUACACUGGCAUUCGUGUCGGCAUGUGUAGGAUAGGUGGUAGGCUUUGAAGCUUGGACGCCAGUUCGAGUGGAGCCAUCCUUGAAAUACCACCCUUAUCGUCAUGGAUGUCUAACCGCGGUCCGUUAUCCGGAUCCGGGACAGUGUAUGGUGGGUAGUUUGACUGGGGCGGUCGCCUCCGAAAGAGUAACGGAGGCGCGCGAUGGUGGGCUCAGACCGGUCGGAAAUCGGUCGUCGAGUGCAAUGGCAUAAGCCCGCCUGACUGCGAGACUGACAAGUCGAGCAGAGACGAAAGUCGGUCAUAGUGAUCCGGUGGUCCCGCGUGGAAGGGCCAUCGCUCAACGGAUAAAAGGUACGCCGGGGAUAACAGGCUGAUGACCCCCAAGAGUCCAUAUCGACGGGGUUGUUUGGCACCUCGAUGUCGGCUCAUCGCAU
rnacentral:rRNA from 1 species